rnacentral:misc_RNA from 1 species
UUUCCGUAGGUGAACCUGCGGAAGGAUCAUUACCGCGUGAGGAUCUCUCAGGCACGACCUUCUACCCUGUGCUUUUGUGAUCUUGUAGAAUUGGCGUGCCCGACUCAAUGAGAGGCUGCCGGAAGCUCACCGCAUUUGGCCCCGGCCGGGCAGUAGCCCCCUUAUGUUGAUAAUAAGUCUGUCGUGCGAGUUAAUGGAUAGCGUGAAAAAAAACUUUCAACAUAGGAUCUCUUCGUUCUUGCAACGUCGAAGAACGCAGAUGAUCAGCACAGAACAGUU